AUUGAACGCUGGCGGCAUGCUUUACACAUGCAAGUCGAACGGCAGCACACUGAUUUUUUCUUCUUGGGUGGCGAGUGGCGAACGGGUGAGUCAUAUAUCGCCACGUACCGACUUAUGGGGGAUAUCUAAUCGCUAGAUCUGCUACUACCUCAUAUCCUCUGCGGCGGAAAGCAGGGGACCUUCGGUCCUUGCGUUUUUCUGGCGUCGGGUCUCUGAUUAGCUAGUUGGUGGGGUAAAGGCCUACCAAGGCGACGAUCAGUAGCGGGUCUGAGAGGAUGAUCGGCCACACUGGGACUGAGACACGGCCCAGACUCCUACGGGAGGCAGCAGUGGGGAAUUUUGGACAAUGGGCGCAAGCCUGAUCCAGCCAUGCCGCGUGUCUGAAGAAGGCCUUCGGGUUGUAAAGGACUUUUGUCAGGGAAGAAAAGGCUGUUGCUAAUAUCAAGAGCUGAUGACGGUACCUGAAGAAUAAGCACCGGCUAACUACGUG
rnacentral:rRNA from 1 species